rnacentral:tRNA from 1 species
UCUCGUUAGGACGGUUGUGCGCCCGCCUGGGGCGCGGGAAAGCUCUUCCAGCACAGACUCGAACGUGCCGACACGAUCAGCGAGACC